rnacentral:rRNA from 1 species
AUUGAACGCUGGCGGCAUGCCUUACACAUGCAAGUCGAACGGUAACAGGUCUUCGGAUGCUGACGAGUGGCGAACGGGUGAGUAAUACAUCGGAACGUGCCUAGUAGUGGGGGAUAACUACUCGAAAGAGUGGCUAAUACCGCAUGAGAUCUACGGAUGAAAGCAGGGGAUCGCAAGACCUUGUGCUACUAGAGCGGCCGAUGGCAGAUUAGGUAGUUGGUGGGAUAAAAGCUUACCAAGCCGACGAUCUGUAGCUGGUCUGAGAGGACGAUCAGCCAAACUGUGACUGAGAAACGGCCCAGACUCCUACGGGAGGCAGCAGUGGGGAAUUUUGGACAAUGGGCGCAAGCCUGAUCCAGCAAUGCCGCGUGCAGGAUGAAGGCCUUCGGGUUGUAAACUGCUUUUGUACGGAACGAAAAGCCCCGGGUUAAUACCCUGGGGUCAUGACGGUACCGUAAGAAUAAGCACCGGCUAACUACGUGCCAGCAGCCGCGGUAA